rnacentral:lncRNA from 1 species
GGUGGCGGCGGCGGUGGUGGCGGCGGCGACGUUGGCAGCGGGGAGCGCAGCACCUCGGAGGGGCGAUGAGCUUCUCGCUGCAGCUUCCAGCAUCUCACCAGGACCAGAACUUUAACCCCGGCCUGAGAUUAGGAAAUGCCCCCUCCCUGAAGAAGCAGAGACGCUCCCAGGGGCCCCCCAGUAGGGACGGAAGGGGCAGGGGGUGGAGGGGGGUAGUGCAGAACUCUGGAGAAGAGGCACCUAGGCUGGGUUUAGCACUUUGGGAGGGGCUUCGUCUGGUUCCCCGACCCCACUGCCCGCCCCAACCAGGUGGAAUGGGAGCAGACAGACUAGCCGGCUGGUACAGAGGAGCUGGGCCGGGGGAGGAAGAAGGAACCUGGCAACCCUGGACAAUGUUACUUACCAGGAUAUUAGAGUUCCUGUGGCUGAUUCACUCUCUCUAGCAUGCACAUAAGCAUAACAUCACAGCUUCUUCUCUUGGAUUUCAGAAGUUGAAGAAAACUUAAAAGUUUUGGUAAUCAGUCCAAUACCUUUGUACAGAUAAGGAAACCGGGGGCUCAGUAUUUUCUACAGCAACUUAGAUCUAAUUUACUUAGUUUUCAGGGUCCUGUUGAGGCUGGGGACAGGACUUAUUACAAUGGUACUAGAAAAGGAUGUUAAAAAGAACUAAUUGUGUGGGGGUGCAUGGGGAGGAGCUGCAUAUAUUGUGAAGUAAAAUAAAUCCUGGUGAUAGAGAAUGGGGACUCA